UACGAAUGGGGCAAGCGUUGUUCGGAAUCACUGGGCUUAAAGCGUGCGUAGGCGGCAAUGAAAGUCAGAAGUGAAAUCCCCGGGCUCAACCCGGGAAUUGCUUUUGAAACUCCAUUGCUAGAAUCCCGGAGAGGUUAGCAGAAUUCCGAGUGUAGAGGUGAAAUUCGCAGAUAUUCGGAGGAAUACCAGUGGCGAAGGCGGCUAACUGGACGGGCAUUGACGCUGAGGUACGACAGCGUGGGUAGCAAACAGG
rnacentral:rRNA from 1 species